rnacentral:lncRNA from 1 species
GUCAGUUGCAAGGGUGUGAGGCAGAAGCAACACAAAAGAUCUUGAUAUGAAGCAAUUAUUUUUGGUCUUAAACUGCUGGGACUCCAGAUGACCCAGACCACGGUCAGCAGGCAGAAGCCAGGUAUUUUAUUCUUUUAGAUGCUAUUGUCAACAGAAUUGCCUUCAAGAUUCCUUUUCUGAUUGUUCAUUGCUGAGAUGACAUCUCACUAUAUUGCCCAGGCUGGUCUUGAACUUCUAGCCUCAAGCAAUCCUCCCACCUCAGCCUCUGAACGUACUGGAAUUACAGAUGGAGCAACUGAGAUUCUUCCCCAACUAGACUAUAAGUUCUCUGAGGGAUAAGGAACAUGUCUGGUUUCCUCAUCUCUCUGUCACAGCACCCUGUGAAUGCCUAGAAGACAGUAAGAAUCAACUGAAUGUUUGUAGAAAGAAUAACGAUACUUACCUAUAGUCUAAAGGUUUAGUGAUGAAAUGAAGUCCACUAACUUCUCUCUGCUUACUUCCACCCUCAAUAACAUAUUUCCUCAAACCCCACAGAGGAAAGACAAUUCAUUUUUUACUAUUGUUUAAUAGAGCCAUGUUUGUAUGUAGCUUCCUGUUCCGCUUAGCCCAAGACAUUAAGUGGGUCAGGAGUAAACUCUGCCCUCUGUUUUUUUCCAUUCCUUUGUCACCUGCUCAAGUGGCAGCCCAGAGCCGCUUGGCGGCUUCCCUGAAGAUGAGCAGAGUGCAGUAGAUUAGGCAUGGCCUUUCUAUCUAUUUCUACUAUGGAGAAGCUGAAAAAGCUAUAUGGCUGGAAAAAAAUCACCUUGGUACUAAUUUGCUAUUUUACAAUAUUUGAAAAUAAAGACCUGUGGUCUUCCUAUGUAUUUCUUUUUAAACAAUGAGGGGUAUGGAACAUCUAUGAAUAAACAUCAAGGUCUUCAAGUGAAUUUUCAGGUUGUGAAGUAUGUGAUUUGUUACUACUAGGGAGAGAUGUUUCCUAACCAUAAAAAUGAAUGUGACUUUUUUUUUUUAAAGGAUGCAA